AUGCUGAAAGAAAGCCAGGUGACACGAAGAUGUUCAAGUGUCAAGGAGGCAGAUUCAACACCUGCCAGAGCCAAAGCCACAGGAGGUGGGAGGACCCUUGGGCCUGGGGAAGAUGGGUCUCUCAGAGACAGGAAAGUCACAGAGAGGAGGUGGGGAGGCUGCAAAGAUUUCACACCUGUAUGCGCUUUGGAGGUGGUUUUGCUUUGCAUGCAGUGUGUUCAUGUAGGACCUCUCUUUCUGCCUGAGAAGAAGAGAAAGCACUUCCUCAUGAAGAGCACAGCUUUCCAGCAGGAUCCAUUGUAUCAGAACUUUUUACCUGCCGGGUGUCUUGUUUUUAAAGGCCUAUGGGCUUAAACUGAGUAGCUGCAGAAUUUUUUUGCAGCGUUAGAGACAAUAAGCAUCCGGUUAAGGAUGUCCUUGAAAACAUCACUCCCUCUGCAGCUCUCCGUCUUCUUAUCUAUGAAAGGAGGGAGUGGGACCUGGGCCUGCCGGCUUCCUUCCUCCCUCCCUUCCAGCAACACGCCUUCGCUGAGCUGCUAUCAGGCGCACGGUGCAACUGUAGGCGCUGUGGGGUACAGGAGAUAAACCAACCCCGAUUAAAAGCCAUUGUGCCCGCCCUCUGCCCAUUUGCAGUUUUGCGGCAAAACAAUAACCGAAAUCACUGUGUUAUGGUCUAGGUCUCUAUCACCUCACAUCUUCAGUGGCUUCCUAACCAGUCCCCUGCCUUUGUUCAGCGUUUCCACCCCUGCGAGGAGGAGGUUUCUGAAGCACGGGUCCAGUCUGGAGGCUGCUCUCCAGCCCCAUAACACGACAGGGACACUAUGCCUGGGUUACUUUACUCUUGCUAUCCUCUCCUCAAACACUAGGUCUUGCAAACUCAUAUUCCACCGUCAAGGCCUUGCAUUCUCUGUAUCCAACCCCUUGCCAGAAUGAACUGCUUGUUCCUACUUGCUAGCCCCAGCGUUUUUAAAUAUGCCUUAGCUGCCACAUUUGCGACAGCACAGUCAUUUGCCUGUGUGUCUCCUCUGUGAGCACCUGUAUUAGGGAGGGGCAGACCUGAAUUAUUCCGUUUCCUCAGUGCAUGGCACUUAGCUGGCACUGAAUUAAUCAUUGUGAAG
rnacentral:lncRNA from 1 species